UCCCCUCUUGGGGGGGGGGGGCAGUGGGAAUCUUCCACAAUGGGCGCAAGCCUGAUGGAGCAACACCGCGUGAGUGAAGAAGGGUUUCGGCUCGUAAAGCUCUGUUGUUGGAGAAGAACGUGCGUGAGAGUAACUGUUCACGCAGUGACGGUAUCCAACCAGAAAGUCACGGCUAACUACGUGCCAGCAGCCGCGGUAAUACGUAGGUGGCAAGCGUUAUCCGGAUUUAUUGGGCGUAAAGCGAGCGCAGGCGGUUGCUUAGGUCUGAUGUGAAAGCCUUCGGCUUAACCGAAGAAGUGCAUCGGAAACCGGGCGACUUGAGUGCAGAAGAGGACAGUGGAACUCCAUGUGUAGCGGUGGAAUGCGUAGAUAUAUGGAAGAACACCAGUGGCGAAGGCGGCUGUCUGGUCUGCAACUGACGCUGAGGCUCGAAAGCAUGGGUAGCGAACAGGAUUAGAUACCCUGGUAGUCCAUGCCGUAAACGAUGAGUGCUAGGUGUUGGAGGGUUUCCGCCCUUCAGUGCCGGAGCUAACGCAUUAAGCACUCCGCCUGGGAGACGACCGA
rnacentral:rRNA from 2 species